AUAUAUGACGCAGUCUGAUCAGCCAUGCCGCGUGUGUGAAGACGGCCCUAUGGGUUGUAAACUGCUUUUAUCUGGGAAGAAUGACGAGGAUUUAUCCUUGGAUAAACGGUACCUAAGGAAUAAGCACCGGCUAACUCCGUGCCACCACCCCCGGUAUUACGGAGGGUGCCAGCGUUAUCCGGAAUCACUGGGUUUAAAGGGUACGUAGGCGGUUAUAUAAUUCAAACGUUAAAGGCUGUGGCUAAACCAUGGUACGCGUUUGAAACUGUAUAACUUGAAUAUUUUCGAGGUGCACGGAAUGCGUCAUGUAGCGGUGAAAUGCAUAGAUAUGACAUAGAACACCGAAUGCGAAGGCAGUGCACUAAGGUAUUAUUGACGCUGAUGUACGAAAGCGUGGGUAGCGAACAGGAUUAGAUACCCUGGUAGUCCACGCCCUAAACGAUGCUAACUGGUCAUUUAUACUUAUUUAGUAUAAGUGACUGAGGGAAACCAUUAAGUUAGCCACCUGGGGAGUACGUUCGCAAGAAUGAAACUCAAAGGAAUUGACG
rnacentral:rRNA from 1 species